UACGAAGGGGGCUAGCGUUGUUCGGAUUUACUGGGCGUAAAGCGCACGUAGGCGGAUCGUUAAGUCAGGGGUGAAAUCCUGGAGCUCAACUCCAGAACUGCCUUUGAUACUGAGAAUCUUGAGUACGGGAGAGGUGAGUGGAACUGCGAGUGUAGAGGUGAAAUUCGUAGAUAUUCGCAAGAACACCAGUGGCGAAGGCGGCUCACUGGCCCGUAACUGACGCUGAGGCACGAAAGCGUGGGGAGCAAACAGG
rnacentral:rRNA from 1 species